rnacentral:rRNA from 1 species
GAUGAACGCUGGCGGCGUGCCUAAUACAUGCAAGUCGAGCGAACGGACGAGAAGCUUGCUUCUCUGAUGUUAGCGGCGGACGGGUGAGUAACACGUGGAUACCCUACCUAUAAUACUGGGAUCACUUCGGGACACCGGAGCUAAUACCGUAUAAUCUUUUGCACCGCAUUGUUCAAAAGUGAAAGACGGUCUUGCUGUCACUUAUCGAUGCAUCCGCGCUGCAUUAGCUAGUUGGUAAGGUAACGGCUUACCAAGGCAACGAUGCAUAGCCGACCUGAGAGGGUGAUCGGCCACACUGGAACUGAGACACGGUCCAGACUCCUAAGGGAGGCAGCAGUAGGGAAUCUGACGCAAUGGGCGAAAGCAUGACGGAGCAACGCCGCGUGAGUGAUGAAGGUCUUCGGAGCGUAAAACUCGGUUAUUAGGGAAGAACAUAUGUGUAAGUAACUGUGCACAUCUUGACGGUACCUAAUCAGAAAGCCACGGCUAACUACGUG